AGGCAGGACCGGGUGACCGCCGCGGCGGGGAGCUUCCUCGCCGGGGAGGAAAGUCCGGGCUCCUCCGGACAGGGUGCUGGGUAACGCCCAGGCUUCUGCGCCAGUUUCGCGACUGCCGCAGGGGACGGAAAGUGGCACAGAAACAUACCGCCUCCGAACGGGAAUUAGGUUUAAGACUGCUUCGGACAUUCCGGAACAGUUGCGAACCGAAAAGUCGGGGGUAAGGUUGAAAUCGGACGGUAAGAGCGUCCGGUCGCCUGUGGUGACACAGCGACGGCCAAACCCCACCUGGAGCAAGGCCGAAUAGGGGGACCAUGGGCGUCCGGCUCGUCCCCGGGUUGGCUGCUUGACCCCGACGGCAACGUCGUCCGGCCCGCUCCGCCCGCCUAGGGGGAACGGGGCCGACUCCCGGGUUUGACCGUGGGCUUACUGCGGCCUGCCUGGCGAGGGGCUAGAUAGAUGGUCACCAUCCCUCCGGCGCCGUCAGCCUUCUCCAUGAAGUCCGGCGGCUUCUCGAUGGGAAACAGAACCCGGCUUACAGGUCUUGCCGACCC
rnacentral:RNase_P_RNA from 1 species